AUGGACAGAACCACAGUCAGCCCCACUUGCUCCCCAGGAGGGGAACCCUAGGGGCCAGGAGCUGGCAGCUGAACUCCUCCAAGCUGGUUUCCAGGGACUGGUGACAUUCAAAGAUGUAACCAUGAGCAUCUCCCAAUAAAAGUGGGAACAGCUUGACCCAGACCAGAUGGACUCUUAUGUAGAAUACAUCCCUCAGGAGAACUGUAGUUUCCUGGUCUUUUCUGGUACAAAUCCUUUUCCCCCACCCAAUCCUUGAGAUUCAGGAGUAGUCGUGUGACCUGGCAGAUCAGAGACAGGGAUAUUCCAGUUCUUAUGAGUCCACCUAUGGUCCUAGGGCAGGAGGGAUCUGAUGGCCGGGAGUCUGAAGUAGUAGUAUCAGCCCACUCUUGACUCUACGGUUUUGGGAGCUGGACUCAAUUCUAAUCUCCUGGAGGGUAAGGAACCUGUGUCUUGCACCUGAAGGGGACUCUCUUAAAUGCAGUGUUUUGCCUUCAGUAGGUGCUUAGUAAAUACCUCUGAUUGAUUGAACUGAUUAAGCUCCAUUCUGCUAUGUGACCUUGGGCAAAUCUCAUGGAACUCUUUCAGGGUUUAGGAAGAGAAGAGAGGCUGUUAGACUAAAUCUCAGGAUUGCAGCUGAUCCCUGAAUCUCCAGCUUUGAGGUGGUGGGCAAGUAAAACCAUUCAGGCUCAUCUGGUUUGGAGCUUAUUUUGUCUGCUGUGUGACCUUGAGCAAGUCAUUUCACUUCUCUCUACCUCAGUUCCCUCUUCUGUAAAAUGGGGAUUCAGCAUCUGUUGUCACUCUAACUUGGACUGUGAGCACCCCAUGUGGGACCUGAUAUCUACCCCACUGCUUAGAAAGUGCUUGGAAAGCAUUUAACAGGUACCCAAAUUGUUAUUAUUCCUUUCCUCUCCAUUCUUGCUUUUACCCUUGCCCCAGGGUCCUUAAGGUAGAUCCCAUCUCAUCAAAGAAGGGAGGUUAAUGAGUUGUCCAAGAAAAAAUAAACAGGAAAGAAAACAUAAAGUCCCCAACUGAUCUUGUAUGUAGCCCCAGUGGUUAGAGAAGCAGCAUGGCUCAGUGGAAAGAGCCUGGGCUUGGGAGUCAGAGGUCAUAGGUUUGAAUCCCAGCUCCGCCACUUGUCAGCUGUGUGACUGUGGGCAAGUCACUUAACUUCUCUGUGCCUCAGUUAUCUCAUCUGCAAAAUGGGGAUUAAAACUGUGAGUCCCAUGUGGGACAACCUGAUCAUCCUGUAUCUCCCCCAAGUGCUUAGAACAGUGCUCUGCA
rnacentral:lncRNA from 1 species